rnacentral:rRNA from 1 species
UACGGAGGAUCCAAGCGUUAUCCGGAAUCAUUGGUUUAAAGGGUCCGUAGGCGGUUUAGUAAGUCAGUGGUGAAAGCCCAUCGCUCAACGUGGAACGGCCAUUGAUACUGCUAGACUUGAAUUAUUAGGAAGUAACUAGAAUAUGUAGUGUAGCGGUGAAAUGCUUAGAGAUUACAUGGAAUACCAAUUGCGAAGGCAGGUUACUACUAAUGGAUUGACGCUGAUGGACGAAGCGUGGUAGCGAACAGG